ACAACUUUCAGCAACGGAUCUCUUGGCUCUCGCAUCGAUGAAAAACGCAG
rnacentral:rRNA from 1 species